AGAGAGAGAGAGAGAGAGCACAGAGAGAGAGAGCGAACACAGAGAGAGAGGGCGAGCACAGAGAGAGAGCGAACACAGAGAGAGAGAGCACAGAAAGAGAGAGCACAGAGAGAGAGCGAGAAAAGAGAGAGAUCGAACACAGAAAGAGAGUGAGCGAGCACAGAGACAGAGAGAGAGAGAGAGAGCAUAGAGAGAGCAGAGCAACAAUCCCAUGAAAAUAAGGAGAGUAAGGAUGCCAGCUAAUGUUAAUAAUGCGUGUUAGUGAUGACCAUUCACUCCACCCGCUGCUGCAGUUAGUAUGGGUUAGUAAACUACUCUGAGAGGCGGUCGCAGCGGCGGCGACCCACAGGAGUUUACGAGGCCGACUCCUCCCGCUUGUUUUGCUCUUGGCUCGACCAAAACGCAUUGGGAAAAUACUACGUCGUACAUGACGCGAUUUGGGGGAAAAAAACAUAAAAAAUUAAUGAAAAAUAUAAAAAAUUUGAUGAAAAUGACAAAAAUGAAAAAUAAGAAAUGAAAAAAAAUGGAAAUUAAAAUGAUAUAUAAAAAUGAAAAUGAAAAAAAACUUAAAACAUGAAGAAAAAAAUAUAUAUAUUGAAAACUGAGAAAAUAUGAAAAAAUAAUAAUAAUAAAAAUAACAUAUAGGACCUUUCAACACACAGCCACCAGCCUUAACUUUCCCAGACUCCGUUAACAUAAUAUUAGAGGAUGAGAAGAGCAUAAUAAUAAUAAUAAUAAUAAUAAUAAUAAUAAUAAUAAUAAUAAUAAUAAUAAUAAUAAUAAUAAUCAACUACUUAAGCAUACUACAUACAUACAUACAACUUGUGAUGCUAUUUUUGUGAAGGUCAGUUUGAGCAGGUUUUGGGAUAACAACACUUCAUAUAUUAAGAAACUGGAUUCUCCUUGAUUCAUAUUUUUAUGUAUAUGUCAAAAAAGAGCAAAGAUAAAUAGAUAGAUAUAGAUAGAUAUUGGAUAGAUAGAUAGAGAGAGAAAGCUUACUAAAACACUAUUAUCACCUCCAACAAAGCACUAAUAUAUAUAAAUCAUAAACACUAUAUAUAUAUAAAUUGAGACUUGGCUAAACUCUCUCUCUCUCUGUCUCUCCAGGCCCCCAUAAAAGUCACUGAUAAGGCUGUUAUUUAAAUCAAAUCUCCAUACUAAUUAUUUUUCCCCCACAAACCUUGCACAAGAGUUCCCUACAUUCACACACACACACACACACACACACUCGCCACAUUACGUAUCACUAUAUAUCACAACAUUACCGUAAACCAAGCAACAUGCAUGUCCGAUGAGGCUAGUUGUUACCAUUACCACAGAAAAAGCCACUCACUCGUAUUAAAGUAACAACGUUCGGGACUAUAUACAAGGAAGAAAGUCAUGUCAUUUUGUGGUCGCAACAGUUUUUUCCCUCCCAUUCACAACUUAACACAUAUAUAGAAAUAGUAGAGUUAGUGUUGUUAGUGGUCCUCCCAUGGCUGAUCCGUAUUCGUAUUUAAAUAAAAACAUUCAAGACUAUACCAGGAAGAAAGUUGGGUAUCAUUUUGUUGUGGCAAGUUUUUACAGCUUAACACAAGGAGAUACUAAGAAUGAUAAGAGUUAGUGUUGUUAGUGGUCCUCCCAUGGCUGAUUCGUAUUCAUAUUUAAAUAAAAACAUUCAGGGCUAUACCAGGAAGAAAGUUGGGUAUCAUUUUGUUGUGGCAAGUUUUUACAGCUUAACACAAGGAAAUACUAAGAAUGAUAAGAGUUAGUGUUGUUAGUGGUCCUCCCAUGGCUGAUUUGUAUUCAUAUUUAAAUAAAAACAUUCAGGAUUAUACCAGGAAGAAAGUUGGGUAUCAUUUUGUUGUGGCAAGUUUUUACAGCUUAACACAAGGAGAUACUAAGAAUGAUGAGAGUUAGUGUUGUUAGUGGUCCUCCCAUGGCUGAUCCGUAUUCGUACUAAAACAACAACAUUCAAGACUAUACCAGGAAGAAAAUCGCGGAUCAUUUUGAGUUAGCAACAGUUUUUUCUGCCUUCCAUUCACAGCUCAACACAAGAUCCUGAUACUAUUACUACUAGAAUCAAGUGUUAUCAGUGGUCCUCCCAUGCCUAAUCUAGUCCCACCUCCUCCUUAGCACCUACUGGUCAACACUGAAGGUGAUAUAUAAGGCUCAUGAGCCUCAAUGCAGACCAAACAGUAUGUGAUUCGCUCUCCCAAUGCUACAUGACGCUGUCCACCCUGCGCUACUACUGGACUACUUGAUACAGCUUGUUGCAAUGUCUCCUGUAACACUCGUCAAAGCUCGGCGGAAUUCUCGGCAAACUCGCAAACAAAAGAGAAUGAGGAGGAAGAAAGUGUGUGUGUGUGUGUGUGUGUGUGUGUGUGUGUGUGUGUAUUUACCUAGUUGUAUUUACCUAGUUGUGACAUACGGGAAAAGAGCUACACUCACGCUGUCCCGUCUCCAUAUCCUCUCUUAUGUGUGUGAGGUUAAUAUAAGGAAAAAUAAGCAUGUUAAACAAAUAGAAGAAGAGAAACAGGAGGCUAAUGAACUUUCCACUAUAAAUGAAAGCCUGAAAUGGGUGACAAGGUGUUAGUGAGAAUACAAUCUGUCCCUCCCUAAGCUGUUUGUCGGCCCUUUCAUCAAGUAAGGGACAGUAACUAAUUUGUAUGUAGGAAGGUAACACACUUUCCACUAUAAAUGAAAGCCUGAAAUGGGUGACAAGGUGUUAGCGAGAAUACAAUCUGUCCCUCCCUAAGCUGUUUGUCGACCCUUUCAACAAGUAAGGGACAGUAACUAAUUUGUUUGGAGGAAGGUAACACACUUUCCACUAUAAAUGAAAGCCUGAAAUGGGCGACAAGGUGUUAGCGAGAAUACAAUCUGUCCCUCCCUAAGCUGUUUGUCGACCCUUUCAUCAAGUAAGGGACAGAAAGGGACAGUAACUAAUUUGUAUGGAGGAAGGUAACACACUUUCCACUAUAAAUGAAAGCCUGAAAUGGGCGACAAGGUGUUAGUGAGAAUAUAAUCUGUCCCUCUCUAAGCUAUUUGCCAACCAAGAGAGCUCUGCCUGUGACUCCCCAACAACAACUAUAAGACAAUCACUUUAUGAGCUUCAAAAUAUACAUAAUUAAUCAAGGACAAACUAAGCACAGUCAGACAGAGGUUAUUAGUAGUGUAGGUAACCCCCUCCCUCUCUCUCCCUCCCUUCCCCAUAUCUCUCCCAGGCCUUACUAGCCUAAACAGUGAGUGGGUCCAUUCUCUCCAAAGUGACAGCGAUGAACAACAAGUGGUUUCUAUUACAGCGCGGGCUAGUGCUACAUAGUAAGAGUCACAGGUUGGUCUUUACCCCAGAGUGGCUCGAGGGCUGGACGGGCAUAUUUGUCAAGGAUUACUAACUGCCGGCGCCACCUCCGAGAACCAUCCACAACACUGCCGGCGAGAUGGUAACACUGCGAUGCUCCACUCCUUCCUAACCCUUAUCCUCUUCCUCACAUUUGUAUUUUUCUCCAACCUUCUUCACAUCCUCUUUUCUUCCCCAUGCACAGCCUUCUUCCUCUCCAUUCCCCUUUUUCCUUCCUUCCUUCUUCCCACUCCUCCCUUUCUCGCUUGCAAGAAACUUAUGCAAGCCUCACUUUUGCCGUAAUACCUUGGAGCAAUAACUAGCCCCUUCCAGCACAUGAGGAGGAGUGACAACUACUGCUAAUUGUUGUUACGAGUGGCAACCUCCAGGCAGGCAUUGUGGAUGGCUCCCGGACAGCCUCACGGCCCGCCCUCGCUCCUGGCUCGUCCGGACCGCUGAGGGAGGCUCUGAAGCUGAAGCAGAGGGGGGCGCCGGCGACAUCCGCUACACACACAGACCAAGGACAAGUUCCGCUAGUAAACUCUAAACUUGGCACCAGAAAUCCCAAACUUGAAAUCCAAUUCCACACUCAAGUAAGAAAAAAGAAAAGAAUGAAAACAGUAACAACUUAAUUACUGCCUCCACUACCCUAGGCUGGAACAGAGCACCCUAACAAAGGUCAACUGGAAUACUAUGAGAAUAAUUGCAUUACUUUCAAAAUAUACAUAACUAAUUAGAUCAUGUCCAACAUACACACCCAGCAGACACAUAAAGUAUACCUAAAGUAUACCACUUGCUGUGUUAGUUUCAUCAUCAUAUAUAUAUAUAUAUUUUUUCAAUCACUACCAUAUUUGUAUGUACAUCUACCAAUAAAUAUUCAUUUUGAUAAUGGGUAAUAUCAGAAAGAGGAUUUAUAUUGUGCUUUGAGUAACCUUUUAAAGCAUGUUCAGGGUUAUGAUGAGUAAUAAUAGUAAUACUACAGAUCCGUGCACUCACUGCUCUGGCCCCGUGUGGAGGGAGGGGGUCCAGUCCGUGCUGGGCUCAGGGUGGCGGUGUGGUGUGGGGGCCGCCCAGCACACUUGGCGGACAACAACAACAACAACAAGUUUGCUAGGGGUGCACUUCACGCGUCCGUACUGAGAAUAUACCGUUAGUGUGUACGCAUACGUAUGUGUAUGUAUAUUUUACAUAGGUGUGUAUAUAUAUAUAUAUAUAUAUUUUUUUUUAUAUAUAA